GGCUGGAAGUUCCCGGGGCACGUUGUUCCGACAGUAAUAAGUUUGUAAAGAAAAGAGAUAGCAAUACACGUGAAGUGCGUCGUUGAAGCAUCAGGCGGCGCGCCACUUUGGCGGCCAUCUUAGUUGCAUCGAAGGCGGCGAAAGAGUGGCUGUGUGCACUGUGCUAGUAGAACACCACGAUGGUACGUACCUACAAACGGAAAACUGAGAGAGGGAAAAUAUCCGAAACGUUAUUACGUCAAGCUGCCAAU